ensembl:snRNA U6 U6 spliceosomal RNA
GUGCUUGCUUUGGCAGCACAUAUACUAAAAUUACAAUGAUAUGGAGAAGAUUAGCAUGGCCCCUGCGCAAGGUUGACACGCAAACGUGUGAAGCGAUCCAUAGUCUU